rnacentral:rRNA from 1 species
UACGUAGGGUGCGAGCGUUGUCCGGAUUUAUUGGGCGUAAAGCGCUCGUAGGCGGUUUGGCAAGUCGGGGGUGAAAACUCCGGGCUCAACUCGGAGACGCCACUCGAUACUGCUAUGACUCGAGUCCGGUAGGGGAGUGCGGAAUUCCUGGUGUAGCGGUGAAAUGCGCAGAUAUCAGGAGGAACACCGGUGGCGAAGGCGGCACUCUGGGCCGGUACUGACGCUGAGAAGCGAAAGCGUGGGGAGCGAACAGG